AGCUUUGCGCAGUGGCAGCGUCGUAGCCAACGCGUUUUAUCUGAGAUGAGACUAUUGCUCAUUGAAAACUUUCCCCAAUACCCCGCCGUCAUGACAUGCAAUAGAGUCGGCAUUGACAAUUUUUGACAGUCUCUAGGGAGA
ensembl:snRNA U4 U4 spliceosomal RNA